AGAGUUUGAUCAUGGCUCAGGAUGAACGCUGGUGGCGUGCCUAAUACAUGCAAGUCGAACGCGCAGCGAGAGGUGCUUGCACCUUUCAAGCGAGUGGCGAACGGGUGAGUAACACGUGGAUAACCUGCCUCAAGGCUGGGGAUAACAUUUGGAAACAGAUGCUAAUACCGAAUAAAACUUAGUAUCGCAUGAUAUAAAGUUAAAAGGCGCUACGGCGACACCUAGAGAUGGAUCCGCGGUGCAUUAGUUAGUUGGUGGGGUAAAGGCUUACCAAGACAAUGAUGCAUAGCCGAGUUGAGAGACUGAUCGGCCACAUUGGGACUGAGACACGGCCCAAACUCCUACGGGAGGCUGCAGUAGGGAAUCUUCCACAAUGGGCGAAAGCCUGAUGGAGCAACGCCGCGUGUGUGAUGAAGGCUUUCGGGUCGUAAAGCACUGUUGUAUGGGAAGAACAGCUAGAAUAGGGAAUGAUUUUAGUUUGACGGUACCAUACCAGAAAGGGACGGCUAAAUACGUGCCAGCAGCCGCGGUAAUACGUAUGUCCCGAGCGUUAUCCGGAUUUAUUGGGCGUAAAGCGAGCGCAGACGGUUGAUUAAGUCUGAUGUGAAAGCCCGGAG
rnacentral:rRNA from 1 species